rnacentral:tRNA from 1 species
GCAGAAGUACCCAAGAGGCUCAAGGGGCUCCCCUGCUAAGGGAGUAGCACUGUUAAAGGUGGCACGAGUUCGAAUCUCGUCUUCUGCGCCA